AACGAACGCUGGCGGCAUGCCUAACACAUGCAAGUCGAACGAGACCUUCGGGUCUAGUGGCGCACGGGUGCGUAACGCGUGGGAACCUGCCCUUAGGUUCGGAAUAACUCCCCGAAAGGGGUGCUAAUACCGGAUAAUGUCUUCGGACCAAAGAUUUAUCGCCUUUGGAUGGGCCCGCGUUGGAUUAGCUAGUUGGUAGGGUAAAAGCCUACCAAGGCGACGAUCCAUAGCUGGUCUGAGAGGAUGAUCAGCCACACUGGGACUGAGACUCGGCCCAGACUCCUACGGGAGGCAGCAGUGGGGAAUAUUGGACAAUGGGCGAAAGCCUGAUCCAGCAAUGCCGCGUGAGUGAUGAAGGCCUUAGGGUUGUAAAGCUCUUUUACCCGGGAUGAUAAUGACAGUACCGGGAGAAUAAGCUCCGGCUAACUCCGU
rnacentral:rRNA from 1 species